GUGCCAGCCGCCGCGGUAAUACCGGCAGCCCAAGUGAUGGCCGAUCUUAUUGGGCCUAAAGCGUCCGUAGCUGGCUGCGCAAGUCCGUCGGGAAAUCCACCCGCCCAACGGGUGGGCGUCCGGUAGAAACUGGCCGGCUUGGAACCGGAAGGCUCAGAGAGUACGUCCGGGGCAGGAGUGAAAUCCUGUAAUCCCGUCCGGACCACCGAUGGCGAAAGCACUUCGAGAAAACGGAUCCGACAGUGAGGGACGAAAGCCAGGGUCUCCAACCGGAUUAGAAACCCUGGUAGUCC
rnacentral:rRNA from 1 species